GAUGAACGCUGGCGGCGUGCCUAAUACAUGCAAGUCGAGCGAACAGACGAGGCUCUUGCUCCUCUGACGUUAGCGGCGGACGUGUGAGUAACACGUGUAUAACCUACCUAUAAGACUGGUAUAACUUCGGGAAACCGGAGCUAAUACCGGAUAAUCUAUUGAACCGCAUGGUUCAAUAGUGAAAGACGGUUUUGCUGUCACUUAUAGAUGGAUCCGCGCCGCAUUAGCUAGUUGGUAAGGUAACGGCUUACCACGGCGACGAUGCGUAGACGACCUGAGAGAGUGAUCGGCCACCCGGGAACUGAGACACCGUCCAGACUCCUACGGGAGGCAGCAGUAGGGAAUCUGCCGCAAUGGGCGAAAGCCUGACGGAGCAACGCCGCGUGAGUGAUGAAGGUCUUCGGAUCGUAAAACUCUGUUAUCAGGGAAGAACAAAUGUGUAAGUAACUAUGCACGUCUUGACGGUACCUAAUCAGAAAGCCACGGCUAACUACGUG
rnacentral:rRNA from 1 species